ACAAAUAAGACCCCUAAACUCACCCUUAAGCUGUCCACAAGGUUAUCCAACAAGAUUAUCGUCCAAGGCACGAAAUCACGAAGCAAUAACACUAGAAUGAUCCCUACGACAUUGAGUUGAGUUGUUUGAAGAGUUUCUAGGGAGGUAUUAAGGACUCACCAUGGUUAAGACGCUGCGUUUCAUGCCCGCAGGUCCCAAUUGAUAGGUUGACAUUUCUCCUGGUAGGAUAUCAGCUCAGCGGAGGUGUUGGUGCACUCCACUUGCUCCGGAGUUGCCUAUUUGGUCAGCAUGCUUUGGAUAUGUAUUGAUUGGUAU